rnacentral:rRNA from 1 species
AUUGAACGCUGGCGGCAGGCUUAACACAUGCAAGUCGAGCGGGGUGAUGGUGCUUGCACUAUCACUUAGCGGCGGACGGGUGAGUAAUGCUUAGGAAUCUGCCUAUUAGUGGGGGACAACAUCUCGAAAGGGAUGCUAAUACCGCAUACGUCCUACGGGAGAAAGCAGGGGAUCACUUGUGACCUCGCGCUAAUAGAUGAGCCUAAGUCGGAUUAGCUAGUUGGUGGGGUAAAGGCCUACCAAGGCGACGAUCUGUAGCGGGUCUGAGAGGAUGAUCCGCCACACUGGGACUGAGACACGGCCCAGACUCCUACGGGAGGCAGCAGUGGGGAAUAUUGGACAACGGGGGGAACCCUGAUCCAGCCAUGCCGCGUGUGUGAAGAAGGCCUUAUGGUUGUAAAGCACUUUAAGCGAGGAGGAGGCUCUUUUGGUUAAUACCCAGAAUGAGUGGACGUUACUCGCAGAAUAAGCACCGGCUAACUCUGUGCCAGCAGCCGCCGUAA